rnacentral:tRNA from 1 species
GCGUACUGGCGUAAAUUGGUAACUAACGCUACUUUACGCCUCUCAAAAACGUCUUCCUGCGCCUUCCAAGCCAGAAGUCCCGGGUUCAAAUCCCGGCGGUCGCA